rnacentral:rRNA from 1 species
GUAGGGAAUAUUGCGCAAUGGACGAAAGUCUGACGCAGCGACGCCGCGUGAGUGAUGAAGGCCUUAGGGUCGUAAAGCUCUGUUGAAUGGGAAGAAAAAAAUGACGGUACCAUUCGAGGAAGGAUCGGCUAACUUCGUGCCAGCAGCCGCGGUAAUACGAGGGGUCCUAGCGUUGUUCGGAAUCAUUGGGCGUAAAGGGGGUGUAGGUGGCCAUGUAAGUCAGGUGUGAAAGCCCCGGGCUCAACCCGGGAAGUGCACUUGAUACUGCGUGGCUUGAGUACCGAAGAGGGUAGUGGAAUUCCAGGUGUAGUGGUGAAAUACGUAGAUAUCUGGAGGAACACCGGUGGCGAAGGCGGCUACCUGGUCGAGUACUGACACUGAGACACGAAAGCAUGGGGAUCAAACAGGAUUAGAAACCCUGGUAGUCC